rnacentral:rRNA from 1 species
CGUGGUGAGUAACACGUGGAUAACCUACCUAUAAGACUGGGAUAACUUCGGGAAACCGGAGCUAAUACCGGAUAAUAUAUUGAACCGCAUGGUUCAAUAGUGAAAGACGGUUUUGCUGUCACUUAUAGAUGGAUCCGCGCCGCAUUAGCUAGUUGGUAAGGUAACGGCUUACCAAGGCAACGAUGCGUAGCCGACCUGAGAGGGUGAUCGGCCACACUGGAACUGAGACAAGGUCCAG